AGUAACGCGCAGGUAAUCUACCCUUAUAUCUGGGAUAACAUUGGGAAACUGGUGCUAAUACCGGAUACACUUCCAAGCUGCGGGGCGAGGGAGGAAAGGUGACCUCUUCAUGAAAGUUACCGUAUAGGGAUGAGCCUGCGUACCAUUAGCUAGUAGGUGGGGUAACGGCCCACCUAGGCGACGAUGGUUAGCGGGUCUGAGAGGAUGAUCCGCCACACUGGAACUGGAACACGGACCAG
rnacentral:rRNA from 1 species